rnacentral:rRNA from 1 species
CCUACGGGAGGCAGCAGUGGGGAAUCUUGCGCAAUGGGCGAAAGCCUGACGCAGCCAUGCCGCGUGAAUGAUGAAGGUCUUAGGAUUGUAAAAUUCUUUCACCGAGGACGAUAAUGACGGUACUCGGAGAAGAAGCCCCGGCUAACUUCGUGCCAGCAGCCGCGGUAAUACGAAGGGGGCUAGCGUUGCUCGGAAUUACUGGGCGUAAAGGGAGCGUAGGCGGAUAGUUUAGUCAGAGGUGAAAGCCCAGGGCUCAACCUUGGAAUUGCCUUUGAUACUGGCUAUCUUGAGUACGGAAGAGGUAUGUGGAACUCCGAGUGUAGAGGUGAAAUUCGUAGAUAUUCGGAAGAACACCAGUGGCGAAGGCGACAUACUGGUCCGUUACUGACGCUGAGGCUCGAAAGCGUGGGGAGCAAACAGGAUUAGAUACCCUGGUAGUCCACGCUGUAAACGAUGAGUGCUAGUUGUCGGCAUGCAUGCAUGUCGUGACGCAGCUACGACAUAAGACACUCCGCCGUCGGGAGGUACGGUCGCGAGAAGUAAACUACGAAGAAGUAGACGGCGUGAGACGUGCCGACGGACGACGACGAGGGAGGAGG